rnacentral:rRNA from 1 species
ACGCUAUCACUCCUACGGGAGGCAGCAGUGGGAAUAUUGCACAAUGGGGGAACCUGAUGCAGCAUGCCGCGUGUGUGAAGAAGGCCUUCGGGUUUGUAAAGCACUUUCGUAGGGAGGAAGGUAGUGUAGUUAACACCUGCAUUAUUUGACGUUACCUACAGAAGAAGCACCGGCUAACUCCGUGCCAGCAGCCGCGGUAAUACGGAGGGUGCGAGCGUUAAUCGGAAUUACUGGGCGUAAAGCGCAUGCAGGCGGCCUGUUAAGUCAGAUGUGAAAGCCCGGGGCUUAACCUCGGAAUUGCAUUUGAAACUGGCAGGCUAGAGUCUUGUAGAGGGGGUAGAAUUUCAGGUGUAGCGGUGAAAUGCGUAGAGAUCUGAAGGAAUACCAGUGGCGAAGGCGGCCCCCUAGACAAAGACUGACGCUCAGAUGCGAAAGCGUGGGGAGCAAACAGGAUUAGAUACCCUGGUAG